ACGGGAGGCAGCAGUGGGGAAUAUUGCGCAAUGGGGGGAACCCUGACGCAGCAACGCCGCGUGCAGGAAGAAGGUUUUCGGAUUGUAAACUUCUUUUGUUAGGGACGAAAUUUGACGGUACCUAACGAAUAAGCUCCGGCUAACUACGUGCCAGCAGCCGCGGUAAU
rnacentral:rRNA from 1 species